rnacentral:antisense_RNA from 1 species
AUCGCGAGAUCAGGAAGGUGGCCGAGUGUUUCGCCGCGGCCAUCAGGCACUUCUCCUUCCUGCCAUUGUAUGAAGAAGGAUGUGUUUGCUUCCCCUUGUGCCAUGAUUGUAAGUUUCCUGAGGCCUCCUCAGCCCUGCGGAACUGGGGUUAUAGCCAUAUGACUGAUCUUUGUCCAAGAAUAUGUAAAGCAAAAGUGUUGAGUUGGCUUUUAGGGCUAGAGCAAUGUAUCUUAGGCUCACUUAAGGAAGCUGUAGAGAUGAGCCCAAGGAGGGAAACCAGAAGAGCCCCCCAGGCUCGCCAGUUGUUUGUUGGCUCCCUACAAACAUGUCAUUCAAGUGGCUAAUCUUACAACAGCACAAAUUCAUCUAACCAGAAAGAGAAGAGGAGGCUCCAAAGGCACUUGACUACUGAGCAUCACCCUGGACGUGUACAAGUCUGCGUCCUUAUUGUUUUCUUCAUUGGGCCGAACUUUCUGGUCCUCAUCCAACAGCUCUUCUAUCACGUGUUCGAAAGUGUCAGCCAACGAUGUCAAGCCUCUUGAACCUGCCUUGGGCCCAUUCACGCUCUCCAGAGUCCCAUGGGUCCGCACACCUGGAGAUACUCUAUUAUAGCAAAGAAGAAAGAUAAUUUCAUUGAGCCAUCCUGUUUUACAGGAAAUUCUGCAAGUGGCAACGUGGGUCAUUCCGUGUGUGUCACUAGAGCUGGCGCAAGCCCAUGGCCAUGGUGAGGCAGUGUUUCCACUGGAACUAAUCUGAUACCUGCACCAGCUCUUGGAACUGUGCAGUGUUCCCACUGCAAACUACGGAUGGGGUAAAAGACUGCUCACCUCCUAUUUCUCAUCUAAUCUCACACACUCUGUUUGAUGAGGCUAUGGAGAAACAGGUCUUCUCAUACACUAAUGGUGGGAGUACAAACAAUUCAAGCCCUGUGCAGGACAAUUAGGCAAUACCUAUCAAAAUUAUACAUGAUUUUUCCUGCUGACCCAGCAAUUCCACUUCUGGGAAUAAUUGACAGAUAUAGGUGCAUAUGUACAAAAUGAUGGAAAGCUCUCUGGUAUGUAUUAGUAAGUGAUAAAACAAGGUGUAAAAUAGUGUAUAUAUGGCUACUACCUUUUGUUUUAAAAAUGGGGGAAAAUGGCGGAGCUUGCGGUGAGCCGAAAUCGUGCCACUGCACUCCAGCCUGGGCGACAGAGCGAGACUCCAUCUCAAAAAAAAAAAAAAAGGGUGGGGUGGGGGGGAAAUAAUAGUACAUAUUCAUAUUUACCUGUAUCUAUAUAAAACACACUAUCAAGGAUUCACAAGAAACUAAUACAAAUGAUCACCUUAUAGAUGGUAUGUAUUGGGGGAUACUGGGGUGAGCAGGGUAUAAGUGGGGCAAGACUUUUCAAUGUAAACUUCUUUUAAAUUUUAUUUUGAUUUUUGAAUAAUGUAAAUUAACUGUCAAAUAAUUAAAUUAAAAAUAACCAAUUUUUUAACAAAACA